rnacentral:lncRNA from 1 species
GGGACACACGGCCAUACCACACGCCCAUGGGGCUGAUGUGUCACACACGACCUAGACACAUGCACGUGUGUCUAUCCAUGUGGACCUUGUUGAGGCUAUAAAUCUAAGCUAAUGGUCACCCUCUAUAACCACUCAUAUUCGUGAACCUCAAUGAUGUUUAACAUGGCCUAAAUAUGUCCGAGUACUACCAUAUAUGGUUUAUUGCAUGGUAACCUCAUCUCAUCGGUUAUGCACAUGCUAAC